rnacentral:lncRNA from 1 species
CGCAGUGCCCUAUAUAUAUGGACAACUAUUCUGUUCUCUCAUAGUGCUGUAGAGCUCAGGCCUAAUCAGAACUAGGUAUCCAAGACCUCACGAUGAAAAUUACCGCCCUGUUCGUGACCCUUCUGGUGGCGCUGUCGGCGCUGCUCACCGCCGCCAGCCCCGACCCCGAACCCUUCAAGCUGUUCAAGAAGUACAAGAAGGGCCCAAUCCGCCCGAUAUACCGACCCGUCUACUACGCACCUCGCCCCGUCUACCACCCGCCACCCGUCUACCAUAAGCCCGUGUACAAGCCAGUCUACAAGCACUGGUAGACUCUCAGACAGUGGAGCAAGCGGCGGUCGACGUCUGGCCGAGAAGUUUGCCGUGGACACCACGGAGAGACUUCAGUCAGACGCUUUUUGCUUGUAAAUUAGCCUGAGACUUACAUAUACUUUUGGCCACGAAUUAUAUUUACGAAUUUUGAAGAUGUCUCAUUAAAUAGAUAUUUUCUUAUCA